rnacentral:rRNA from 1 species
ACUAAAUAGAUACCCGGUAGUCCACGCCCUAAACGAUGUCUACUAGUUGUUGGUGGAGUAAAAUCCAUGAGUAAACGCAGCUAAACGCGUGAAGUAGACCGCCUGGGGAGUACGGUCGCAAGAUUAAAACUCAAAGGAAUUGACGGGGCCCGCACAAGCGGUGGAUUAUGUGGAUUAAUUCGAUGCAACGCGAAAAACCUUAACCUGGCCUUGACAUGCCACUAACGAAGCAGAGAUGCAUUAGGUGCCCGUAACGGGAAAGUGGACACAGGUGCUGCAUGGCUGUCGUCAGCUCGUGUCGUGAGAUGUUGGGUUAAGUCCCGCAACGAGCGCAACCCUUGCCAUUAAUUGCCAUCAUUAGUUGGGCACUUUAAUGGGACGUNCCGGUGACAAACCGGAGGAAGGUGGGGAUGACGUCAAGUCCUCAUGGCCCGUUAUGGUCC